AGCGAACGCUGGCGGCAGGCUUAACACAUGCAAGUCGAGCGGGCAUCUUCGGAUGUCAGCGGCAGACGGGUGAGUAACACGUGGUAACGUACCCUUCGGUUCGGAACAACUCUGGGAAACUUGAGCUAAUACCGGAUACGCCCUUAUGGGGAAAGGUUUACUGCCGAAGGAUCGGCCCGCGUCUGAUUAGCUAGUUGGUGGGGUAACGGCCUACCAAGGCGACGAUCAGUAGAUGGUCUGAGAGGAUGAUCAGCCACACUGAGACUGAGACACGGUCCAGAAUCCUACGAGAGGCAGCAGUGGGGAAUAUUGGAAAAUGGGGGCAAGCAUGAUCCACCCAUGACGCGUGAGUGAUGAAGGCAUUAGGGUUGUAAAGCUCUUUUGACCGGGACGAUAAUGACGGUACCGGAAGAAUAAGCCCCGGCUAACUUCGUG
rnacentral:rRNA from 1 species